rnacentral:ncRNA from 1 species
UUCAUUACGAUGACUGGGUAAGUAAACAAUCAAAUUUUUUUAAGAGAGCUUCGGUAGCUGAAAAGAAGUAAAAAGGAAAUUGUUGAAAAUGGCCUAUGAGUAAUUUGUCUUCGAGCCCUAGGUAAGAAGAUAACGGGAGCGCCCGAUAUAGCGCUAGAGUAUGCUGGUACUUGAAGAGGAAUUUAGUGUGAGCUAAAUUCAAAAUGAGGUGGUAACACGCAAAAAAGCGUCCUCAAG